UACGUAGGGAGCAAGCGUUGUCCGGAAUCAUUGGGCGUAAAGAGCGCGUAGGUGGCUUUAUAAGUCCGUUGUGAAAGUCAAAGGCUCAACCUUUGAAAGCCGAUGGAUACUGUGAAGCUAGAGUACGGAAGAGGCGAGUGGAAUUCCUGGUGUAGCGAUGGAAUGCGCAGAUAUCAGGAGGAACACCAAUAGCGAAGGCAGCUCGCUGGGACGUUACUGACACUGAGGCGCGAAAGCGUGGGGAGCGAACAGG
rnacentral:rRNA from 1 species